AUACCUUCAAAAUUGUAUAACCACACAGAAAAUAUCCUGAACAUAACACACACAUAAAUGUAUCAAUUUGUAUGAUUUGCGUCCUUUUGUGCAAAUUCAAAUACAUGACAGGCGCUUGUUUAAAGAUCAUGACGAUACUAGUGCAUGUAUCUGCAUGGACUUUGUUAGUCAUGUAGUUCGAAAGCUCACAGAAAUCAUUAAACUACCAACCCAGCCGCAGCAGUCUCUCUCGAGUAGUUUGUGCGUGAUAUCAGAGUAGUUGAUACAUGUAAGUCUUUAUUGAACCUUCAGGGGAUCACAGAACCACUUCGCGGAUUAGGAGGAGAGGAGCUAUCAAUCAUCUGUGUAAAUUUCGACUUAAAGAGACCAUAAAACAUGGCAGGCGAAUUGAGGGAUUUUGAUGAAAUACUGGUCACGGUUGCCAGAAAAGUCCGACAAAACUCAGACAUCGACACUCUUGGAUCUAAGCUUGGAUUUAGUCCUGAAGAUGUUCAUGGAUACAUAGCAACCAAUCACAGAACACAAAACAUUACGUGGGAUGGAACUCUGCAGAUGCUACGGGAUUGGCGUAAUGACCAAAGAGUUGGAACAGAAAGAGAAGCUUUAAAGACUGCUCUUGAAAUAUCAGGUCAAAUCCGUCUAGCUGAUGAACUCUUUCCUUGAAGUCGACCAAGAACGGAAGAUUAAAAAAAGAAGAAUAAAUUUGUUAUCACAAAAUAUAUGAAUGUUUACAUAGUUUUCUAUACUAUUCAACCAUUUUAUAUUUUGUGUCUUUGAUUAUAAUAGCAUCCACUGUAUCUGAAAUGCUCUCCCAACUUAGUCUCUUAAGUCAUUUUUAAAUAAUUCAACAAUAGAAUCCUUAAGAUGACGUCAGUGUAAAAUUAUCAAAUAUGUCCCUCUUAAAGAAAAAAGUAUAUGUCUGUGUAAGUGGUUGAUGGUGAGUGUGGAAAAACAACUUUUGGUGCAGCAAGUAUUUCUUUUUUGCGGCAGUACUUAAUUAAAAUUUACACAUUGUGAAAGGUAGCUUAUUAAAGUAUUUCGUUUUGUAUCUGUCUUUUGACAUACCCUACUUACAUACCUUACUUAAGUUUAACAUUUUGACAAAUUACGGAGUUUGUCAAAAGCAAUUCGUUUUUAUUUCAGCACUUAAGCCAAAUUCUAGAAAAUUGAUUAUUUUACAUGGGAAAAUGUUAACAGGAAAUAGAGAAGAAAUUCAAAAUUAAAAAGGUAAUGAUAAAUUACUCAUUUUGACCUUGUGAUGGCAGUUUUACUGAUUGAAAUGUAUAAUGAAAACCUUUGUAUUUAGUUUCUUGAAAUGGGAAGGGCUAUAAUGUAUUCAGCUCUUGCAGGUCCUUUUGUUGUAGGUUCUAGGUUCUAGUAACAGGUGGAAAAAAGACCCGCCCGAGGUCUAGUAAUUGUACAUUGCACAUAAUUGCUAUGCACAUGCACAGAGUAGGUAGGAUCACUUUCAUUUUGUUACUCUGAGCAUGUUGAGAGAGGUUAUGUUCUGAUGAUUAAAGAGGAAAUGCCCCUCAGAUUUAUUAAUUUUCCUACCCACAAUGGUGGUGAAUCUAUUUGAAAUUUUAUCAUUACGUUAGAUUCUCGAAUCAAAAAAGAUUUUUGGUCUGCAAUUUUGAUCCAGAUUUUGUUGUAACAGUUCUAUAUCAGAAGCAUGUUUUCCAUAACUUUAAUAGGCAUAAUAUUACGUUGUGAGUUUUCAACAAUUUUCGGUUUUAAAUAAUUGUUACAAUUAUAUUGCAGUGAUGGAAUGGUUUUAUUUCAGAAUUUUUCAGGAGUGAAUUUUUUAUGCAAAAUUUUCUAGGAUCGAUGCAUUCAUGCUGAUGAAUUAAUACUACCUAGAUAUUCUGUUGGUGCUCAUUAAAAUAAGAAAGACAAGUAUUGAUCAAAUUGUUUAUAAAAGUAAUCAAUGAAAUGUUAAAAAUUAGGAUUUGCCAGUUUAGAAAAUGGGAUUUUAUUUAUUUUUCAAGGAUCCCUUGGUCAAGGAACUAUUUUACCCAUGAACAGCCAAUUUCUUUAAAAUUCUUAAUCGAUAAAAUCAAACUUUAUUUUUGUUUAAAUCUUUUGAAAGUAAAUAUCAUUUAUAUGUAAAAUCAUGUUACAUUGAUCAUUAAAAUUUCAUUUGAAAUCGUAUUUGGAAACGAAAUGAGAUAGUUGCAAUAAACAACUUUAAACCGGA